CCGCACGUCGGUCGGCCGGUGCGGCCCGGCCACCGCCGCCGGGAUCGCGGACGGGUCGAGGCCGUCCCUGCGGGC
rnacentral:tRNA from 1 species